UUCAAGUGACUCAUCCCCACGUCUACAAUACUCGUCCUGAGUACUUGCUAAUCCCAUAGGUGCCCUCAUGUACCGGAAUAUCCCAAGUCCAGUGAUGAAGGUCGUUAAGUCUCUUGAUUCCUCAGCCAAAGGGAGUUGCCAAUAUCCAUUCUUUGCAUCCAAAGUCGAGAAAAAUUGAGAACCAGCCUUGAUCUUAUUGAUGGCAUCCCGAGGAGUGACCAUGGGGCACUACUACCAUUGGAUGGACCCAUUCUGUUGGCCAAGUCACUUUCUCGAUCACUUUGAUCUUCAUCAUCCGAAGAAGUUCGACCAUUGUCGGCUCCUGGGCAGCCAGUGGAACUUUCCUGGGUGCGUUAAGGCGUAUGGGAACCACAUCGUCGCUCAAAUGAAUCUUCAUCGGUUCUCCGGCCAUUUCCUGCAAUUCGCCGUCACAAUUAAAGACAUCAGCAAAAUGUUUACGCAAUAUCCCGUUGAUCUCGGACCAUUCCCCCUCCAGAGGGAAGUCCCUAACAAGAAAUGGUGAGAGCUCCAACCAUAUAGAUUUGUCUCUUGUAUUUGGCCGAUCAUUAUUGCAGACAGAGAUGCUUCUUGUUUGGACACAUCAGUUGGGAAAGGUCUCCGGGAGAAUCUCCAGCGCUACCAAACAGGACCAAGACAAGAGAACAUCGGGGUCAGCUUCAUCGCAACGGAAAAUCGUCUCUUGAGUUUCCAAGCCUUGAGGCUCAAUGACCACUAAAGUCGGAUCCCGCAAUUGAGGCUUCUGCACCACAGUCUGGGGUGGCAAGAAAUCGGCCUAAUGACGCUUUACCCAAACGGAUACCAACGGUCGUUGUGGGAGUAACAUGUGAUUGACCUCCUCCAAGCUCCCGAAUGUGUUUAGUGGUGAUCCGACCUAAUUUCACGGAUUUUGCUGGCAAUUUGACUCAAAAUGUCCAAUCCGGUGGCAGCCAUAACAUUCAAUGUUCUGUGCUGGGCAAUUUCCUCGCGCGUGUGAACUGUUACAAAAUGAACACGAUGCUUUUGGAUAACCCUUCUUGACUUUCUUGUGUACCAGUUUCUUCCCGACACCAAAACCAGUCUUGUUCUUAAAUCUGUUGCAAUUAAUCUUGGUACCAGCAAGUUCCAUCUUGUCCACAUCGAUGUGGGCAGUCUCCUCAGCUCGGCAUAGGUCUACCGUAUCUUUAAGAGAUGGUAACGUAUUUAAGGAUAACAACUUCGACCAUACCGUGGAAUCAUUGACGCCAGCUAUAAUUCUUGCAACGAGACGAGUAUCCAAGCAUGUGGAGCACAACUGGGCGUCUUCCGCAAUCUUGCGAAUUUUUACCAAGAAGUCAUCAAAGGGUUGGCCUGCUUCCUGGUGGCAUUUCUCCAAUGUAAGAUGAUCCACAGCCAAGUUCCUCUUGGAUCGCAGGAAUGUCUGGAUAACAUCCAAGACAGUUUUGACUGAGCGUGUAGUGGUCAUGGGGACAUUCAUCGUGUGUUUCACAUGGCCCAACAUCUCGGUGGUCAUGAGUCCCCAUAACGCCUUUAUCUGGAUAGAUUUGUCCUGAAGACCGAUUUCAGAUAAGGUGAAGUAAUCUUCUACUUGUUGGCGUCAAGUGAGAAACAUAUUCCAUGAUACAUCUUUUACCAAUUUUUCAGGACGAGACAAUUCCACUUUCCUCAAGUUUGGUGCCCUUGGCGAUUGCUCACCUCCCAAGGACGACAUAAACCUCAUUAAUCGUUCCUCGGAUUCCUUCUGCAUGUGAGAUAGAAGCGGGUCUAACCACUCAGGGACCUCACGUGGUGCAUCAUGGACAUCAACAUCCACGGAUUGUUCUCCGGCACCAACAUCGGGUUUAGGCAGCAUCAUAGAUAAGAGGCUAUCUCCUCGCUUCCACCACGGGUUCUUCUUCUCAGCACAAAUACGUUGAACUGGAGAACCUUCCUCGGACAAAUGGUUCGUUGGCUACCUAGUAUGUGGAUGGGACUCGGCGGUCCUUAUUGGCACAAACGAAGUAGGCUACCGGCUGCGCCAUGGCGUGUUCGUCAGGAGGAAAUAAUUCAGGCAGAGGUUCAAACGAGAUUACAACGCAUGGCAAGUGAGGGUGCUCACGAUCAGGUGUGAUAAUUCACACCAGUAUUUACAAGAGCAUUCGAGCAUACUCCAGCAAUGGCCCCUUUAGGGGUCGGGAAUGGAUGAGUUGGGCGUACAACGUGUUCAUUCAACUUCUUGUAGUCAAUGAAAA